AUUGAACGCUGGCGGCAUGCCUUACACAUGCAAGUCGAACGGUAACAGGUCUUCGGAUGCUGACGAGUGGCGAACGGGUGAGUAAUACAUCGGAACGUGCCCAAUCGUGGGGGAUAACGCAGCGAAAGCUGUGCUAAUACCGCAUAAGAUCUACGGAUGAAAGCGGGGGAUCGCAAGACCUCGCGCGCAUGGAGCGGCCGAUGGCAGAUUAGGUAGUUGGUGGGGUAAAGGCCCACCAAGCCGACGAUCUGUAGCUGGUCUGAGAGGACGACCAGCCACACUGGGACUGAGACACGGCCCAGAAUCCUACGGGAGGCAGCAGUGGGGAAUUUUGGACAAUGGGCGCAAGCCUGAUCCAGCAAUGCCGCGUGCAGGAUGAAGGCCUCCGGGUUGUAAACUGCUUUUGUACGGAGCGAAAAGGUCUUCUCUAAUACAGGAGGCCCAUGACGGUACCGUAAGAAUAAGCACCGGCUAACUACGUGCCAGCCGCCGCAGUAA
rnacentral:rRNA from 1 species